CACUAUAGCUUCUAAUAUUCUGAAGUAACCCUUCAGAUUUCUUCCUCUUCUUCUCGCGCAAACUCUUCCAUCUCACUGUUUUCUCCAACCCCCUCCAAAUAGCGCCGUCUCCGUCGCCACCUCUCUGCCGUUCAGUCGCCACCACGCCGCCGGUGUUCUCGCUCAAGAAGAAGCCUCGCGCUGCCUCGUCGCCGGUCUUCCUCGUUGUUCGUCGAAAUCGUACCAGACUUCGUCACCAACGUCGUCCUCACCGAACGCUGAAACCCUAGGCCGCCGCAAGGAGCCCCCGCUGCCCUCCAAAUGAUGGCCUCGCUCCUUGAGCUGCCUGUUCUAAGCCCUGCCCCGCCGUUGCCGGGAGCCACCAGAACCUCGUCGUGUGCGACGGUUGCGAGCGCAGCUUCCACCUCGCCUGCGAGUGCGUUGCCUCUGGAGUGAAGAGGAAGCGGUGGUCGUUGGGAGUGAUAACAGAUCCUAGGGUUCUAAUACACCCCAUCCCCAAGUUGUGGUCGUUACAGCCAGUGCCAGUGGUGGAAGUUGUUUAAAAUUUUGGUAACACUGGUAUAAAUUUUGAUGAUGAGGAAUGAAGAAAGUGCUUCCUUGCUGGUCUAGUAAUCAGAAUUUUAAGUAUCAGUACCUCAAGCUGGAGAUGUGUAGAAACACCAGGUGAUUACUUAUCAGAAAGGAAUGUCAUGGGAAUUUGUGAGGGAGAGGUGUAAAAAGGAAUGGAAAAUGUUCCAGAGUCGGUUGGCAAAUGUAGAAUAUGCAUAUUACAAGGCCAUGAGAGUAAAUAUGUUCAAUUCAACUACUCCUUAACGACAGAACCUGACUUGUACACAACCAUCACCAUUGUUGAGUUCGAUUUUACAUAAUAUAUAGUUUUUUCUUUGAGUUUGGAAGUUACUUGCACUUGUAACUUAGAGUCCUAAACAACAGUUCAAUGUGGGAUUCCAGUGUUGAAAGUUAGAGUUAGAUAAUAUAGGUAAAUGAAACUUAUUGUAAGUAGUGUAUUUGAUUAUAUAAUAUUCUUUGUUUUAGGAAUCUUUGCUUGCAGGGAAUAAGAAGGCAAUACCGUUGGCUAGUUUUUUUUUAUUAGA